UACGGGGGGGGCAAGCGUUGUUCGGAAUUACUGGGCGUAAAGGGUUUGUAGGUGGCUCGCUAAGUCAGGCGUGAAAUCCCUCAGCUUAACUGGGGAACUGCGUCUGAGACUGGCAAGCUUGAGUGCAGGAGAGGAACGCGGAAUUCCAGGUGUAGCGGUGAAAUGCGUAGAUAUCUGGAGGAACACCGGUGGCGAAGGCGGCGUUCUGGACUGUAACUGACACUGAUGAACGAAAGCCAGGGGAGCAAACGGG
rnacentral:rRNA from 1 species